UUGAACGCUGGCGGCAGGCCUCACACAUGCAAGUCGAGCGGAUGAAGGGAGCUUGCUCCUGGCUUCAGCGGCGGACGGGUGAGUAAUGCCUCGGAAUCUGCCUGGUAGUGGGGGAUAACGUCCGGAAACGGGCGCUAAUACCGCAUACGUCCUGAGGGAGAAAGUGGGGGAUCUUCGGACCUCACGCUAUCAGAUGAGCCUAGGUCGGAUUAGCUAGUUGGUGGGGUAAAGGCCUACCAAGGCGACGAUCCGUAACUGGUCUGAGAGGAUGAUCAGUCACACUGGAACUGAGACACGGUCCAGACUCCUACGGGAGGCAGCAGUGGGGAAUAUUGGACAAUGGGCGAAAGCCUGAUCCAGCCAUGCCGCGUGUGUGAAGAAGGUCUUCGGAUUGUAAAGCACUUUAAGUUGGGAGGAAGGGCAGUAAGUUAAUACCUUGCUGUUUUGACGUUACCAACAGAAUAAGCACCGGCUAACUUCGUG
rnacentral:rRNA from 1 species